GACGAACGCUGGCGGCGUGCCUAACACAUGCAAGUCGAACGGAGAGGACAUGAAGUAUUUCGGUACGGAAUGCUCUCUUAGUGGCGAACGGGUGAGUAACACGUGGGCAACCUGCCCCAGACUGGGGGAUAACAUUGUGAAAACAGUGCUAAUACCGCAUGACAGGGUUCCGGGCAUCCGGGACCCUUGAAAGGAGAAAUCCGGUCAGGGAUGGGCCCGCGUCCAAUUAGCUAGUUGGCGGGUAACGGCCCACCAAGGCGACGAUUGGUAGCCGAACUGAGAGGUUGAUCGGCCACAUUGGGACUGAGACACGGCCCAGACUCCUACGGGAGGCAGCAGUGGGGAAUAUUGGGCAAUGGGCGAAAGCCUGACCCAGCGACGCCGCGUGAAGGAUGAAGGUCUUCGGAUUGUAAACUUCUUUGAUCAGGGAAGAAAGAAAUGACGGUACCUGAAAACAAGCCACGGCUAACUACGUG
rnacentral:rRNA from 1 species